UUCUCUCUGGUUUUUCUUCUUGCGUUUUUUCCCUCCCUGGAUAUUUUCUUCUCUGCGAAUAUUUCUUUCUUCUUUUUUUCUUCAAAUCCUCUAAGAACAAGAUAUGAGAUGUGAGAAAUGAAUGGGUUUUGGCGAUUCAUUUGAAUGAUGGUGUUGUAUCAGGGAGCAUCUUACUUCUUCCUCUCUUGGCUGCCAUUGUUUCUUUUUAAGGGAGUACAAGUCUAGGGUUUGAUAUUCAUGAAUAUGUUAGCUGAAAUUGUUAAUUCUUGGUGAUGAAAUUAGCUUAACAAGGAUUCAAAUCCUGAACAGCCCACUUGCAAUCGAAGUAUCUUAUAUUCCGUAUACCGGAUGAAGCUGAAUUUUUAGUAUGUUGUUUAUAUAUAUGUAAGUAACCUACUGUAAAAUUUUAUGAAUUUCUGAUCAAUUUAGGUAUACUAAAGUAUGGGAUUAACGUGCCUGACUUCUGUAAGACAAUAAUAUAAGUCUGUCAAGUUAUGAUGUGGUUAUAUUCUUAUUGAACCGUUAAAAGCCUGUAA